UGACUAGGAAUCGAACUGCAACCUCCUGGUUCAUGUGUUGAUGCUCAAACACUGAGCCACUCUGGCCGGGCUGUAUGAGAGUCAAAACUACUAGGUAAGUACCUUAAAGAUACUUAAGGUUUAUGAUAACAACAUAAUGCAUGGUCCUGGAUUCCCUAUUGGUUUAAACAAGUUGCUAUAAAAGAUAACUGGGGUCAAUUGGGAAAUUUUUAGUAUGGAUGGGAUUAGAUAAGGUGCAAAUUUACAAAAAUGAAAAGUUCAAAAUCAUUAACAAAAUGCCAGUUCCAAAACCAUAUAUACAGAAUAAUCAUAUUUUGUUUAUAAUAUGUCUAUAUAUUUAUUUUAAAAAAGAUCUGAAAGGAUAUGCCCUAAGGUGAUCUCUGGUGAAAAUGUUUUAUUGCUGUUAGUCUACAUUUUCUAUUUUUAUACAAUACAUGUGUAUUGCAUCUGUAAUAAUUAUUACAAAUAAAAUAACUGGUUGCCAGCAUUGAUCCUUCAGGAAAUUUCACAUAAAAAUCUGGAUAUUGUAUAUGAAGAGCUGGAUUUCUAAGUGUGUUUUUUCCAAUAAUCAAAUAUGUCACCCCUGGACUUCCAUUCCCACACGGCAACAAUCGGUUGGAACCAGGUGAUGGCUGCUCCUUUUUUCUCUCCUAGUUUGUCACGCUCCCUACCAUUCCUUCUUCUGUAUGCUUCACAAAUUGCUUACCUGCCUUAUUCCCGCAGACAUCUGAGAUAGUAACCCUUGAUUUGGAUAAACUCAAUGGCCUCCCCAUCCAUAGAGCCUCUCAUUAUUAAUCAUUUGAAGGUACCAAUAAAUUAACUGACCGAGAAAAGCAUCCAUUUCAGAA